AUUCCAGCUCCAAUAGUGUAUAUUAAAGUUGUUGCAGUUAAAAAGCUCGUAGUUGGAUUUCUGGCGGGAGCGAUCGGUCCUUCACUCAGUGUUGGAACCUGAUUGUCUCCUGCCAUCCAUGGAGAAAACUUAUCUGGCAUUAAGUUGUCGGGUAGGCAAUCUCCAUCUUUUACUGUGAAAAAAUUAGAGUGUUCAAAGCAGGCUUAUGCCGUUGAAUAUAUUAGCAUGGAAUAAUAAGAUAGGACUGUGGUACUAUUUUGUUGGUUUGUGCACCAUGGUAAUGAUUAAGAGGGACAAUUGGGGGCAUCCGUAUUUCGUUGUCAGAGGUGAAAUUCUUGGAUUUACGAAAGACGAACUACUGCGAAAGCAUUUGCCAAGAGUGUUUUCAUUA
rnacentral:rRNA from 1 species